UGGUCCUAACCUUGUAGUCAAUUAUUAUUUAACUUAUACAUGCAAGUAUCCGCACCCCUGUGAAAACGCCCUUCAUACUCUUAUUGAAACAAGGAGCCGGUAUCAGGCACAAUAAUUAGCCCAAAACACCUAGCUAUGCCACAUCCACAAGGAAACUCAGCAGUAAUCAACAUUGAGCAUAAGCGAAAGCUUGACUCAGUCAAAAUAAAAUAAAGCCGGCAAAUAUGGUGCCAGCCGCCGCGGUUACACCACGAGGCUUAAAUUGAUUACCAUCGGCGUAAAGCGUGAUUAAAGUGCCUUAAAGAUAUAGUUGCAUUUUAACUAAGCUGUAACACGCUUGUUCUUAAGAAAACCAUAAACGAAAGUUACUAUAUGCCCAAUAACUUGAAUCCACGACAGUUGGGUCACAAACUGGGAUUAGAUACCCCACUAUGCCCAACCGUAAACUUUAAAUUACACCACCAUCGCCAGGGAACUACGAGCUAAGCUUAAAACCCAAAGGACUUGACGGUACCCCAUAUCCCCCUAGAGGAGCCUGUCCUAUAAUCGAUACCCCCCGCUUAACCUCACCAUUUUUGGCCUAUCAGCCUGUAUACCUCCGUCGCCAGCUUACCUCGUGAGUGAUCCAUAGUGAGCUAAAUGUCCCUACAUCAAUACGUCAGGUCAAGGUGCAGCAAAUAAAAUGGGAAGAGAUGGGCUACACUCUCUAAACUAGAAUACACGAAAGACUAUACAUGAAACCUAGUCGGAAGGCGGAUUUAGUAGUAAAAAGAGACCACAAAGCUCUUUUUAACCCGGCACUGGGGUGUGUACACACCGCCCGUCACCCUCUUCGAAGCAAAACUAUAGUAUAUAACCUAACUCAGCACUUAAGAAGAGGCAAGUCGUAACAUGGUAAGCGUACCGGAAGGUGUGCUUGGAAA
rnacentral:ncRNA from 1 species